rnacentral:rRNA from 1 species
GCGUAACGAUCUCCACACUGUCUCGGCCAGAGACUCGGUGAAAUUGCAGUCGCGGUGAAAAUUCCGUGUACCCGCAGAAAGACGGAAAGACCCUGUGCACCUUUACUAUAGCUUGACAUUGGAUUUUGGGCCUGCAUGUGUAGGAUAGGUGGGAGGCUGUGAACCCUGUACGCCAGUAUGGGGGGAGCCAUCCUUGAAAUACCACCCUUGCAUGUUUAAGAUCCUAACUUCUUCCGGUUAUCCCGGAGAAAGACAGUGUCUGGCGGGUAGUUUGACUGGGGCGGUCGCCUCCUAAAGUGUAACGGAGGCAUGCAAAGGUUCCCUCAGCCUGAUCGGAAACCAGGCGCUGAGUGCAAACGCAUAAGGGAGCUUGACUGUAAGAGAGACAUCUCGAACAGGAACGAAAGUUGGCGUUAGUGAUCCGGUGGUCCCGAAUGGAAGGGCCAUCGCUCAUUGGAUAAAAGGUACGCCGGGGAUAACAGGCUGAUCGCAUCCAAGAGUUCACAUCGACGAUGCGGUUUGGCACCUCGAUGUCGGCUCAUCACAUCCUGGGGCUGAAGCAGGUCCCAAGGGUACGGCUGUUCGCCGUUUAAAGUGGUACGCGAGCUGGGUUUAAAACGUCGUGAGACAGUUUGGUCCCUAUCUUCUGUGGGCGAAGGAGAAUUGAGAGGGCCUGUCCCUAGUACGAGAGGACCGGGAUGGACGCACCCCUGGUGAUCCUGUUGUCGCGCCAGCGGCAUAGCAGGGUAGCUAUGUGCGGAAGGGAUAACCGCUGAAAGCAUCUAAGCGGGAAGCCUGCCUCAAGAUAAGUUCUCCCCUCGAAAGAGCUGAAGGGCCCGGGUAGACUACCCGGUCGAUAGGCUGGAGGUGUAAGCGCGGCGACGUGCUCAGCUGACCAGUACUAAUAGCCCGAGCGGCUUAUUUUU